ACGCACGCUGGCGGCGUGCCUAAUACAUGCAAGUAGAACGCUGAAGGAGGAGCUUGCUCUUCUGGAUGAGUUGCGAACGGGUGAGUAACGCGUAGGUAACCUGCCUGGUAGCGGGGGAUAACUAUUGGAAACGAUAGCUGAUACCGCAUAAGAGUAGAUGUUGCAUGACAUUUACUUAAAAGGUGCAAUUGCAUCACUACCAGAUGGACCUGCGUUGUAUUAGCUAGUUGGUGGGGUAACGGCUUACCAAGGCGACGAUACAUAGCCGACCUGAGAGGGUGAUCGGCCACACUGGGACUGAGACACGGCCCAGACUCCUACGGGAGGCAGCAGUAGGGAAUCUUCGGCAAUGGACGGAAGUCUGACCGAGCAACGCCGCGUGAGUGAAGAAGGUUUUCGGAUCGUAAAGCUCUGUUGUAAGAGAAGAACGAGUGUGAGAGUGGAAAGUUCACACUGUGACGGUAUCUUACCAGAAAGGGACGGCUAACUACGUG
rnacentral:rRNA from 1 species